UGUUUCAUUACCCCAUACCGUACUCUCCGGUCUUCUCUUCUUUAUAUGGAGCUCUGGCUGCUCUGCCCUCUUCAAUCACAGUGUUUCUCUAAACAAUACCACCAUUCCCUCCUCCAAGUCUUCCUCCAUCUCCGCCACCAUCUCAAACAACUGCAACCACCUUCCAUUUCCUCCACCCCGACUCCACCGCGGAAGCAGCCAUCCUCACCGACGCCAAACGCCACCUCCGAUCCAGCUCCCCGCCAAACAGAUCUGAAGCCGGUACUCGCGACCCGACGCCACCGCCGAAGGUUCAGCUCGUGACCACCACCGUCGGUUCCUCCACUGCCACCGUCCAACUCACGGCAAAGAUUCCUGACAUUGAGAAGUGCUUGAUAUUGUUGCCACUUUGCAAGCUAAGAAGGCCACCAGUGAGGACAUUACACUUUAUUUCAGAGGUGCAAGGAUCUUCAAAGUUGUACUAUGCCUUGAAAUGGGAAAUGCAAGAAAGAUAAAUUAAUAUAUAUAGUCACACGUACAAGCACAUUAAUAAAGAGGUAUAAAAAAAAAACAUAUGCAUAUUAAAUGACUAAUCUCCAGCAUCUACGCAUUCACAUUAAUGGCAUGCAUAUCAGCAUAUGGUAAUUUAACAAUUACAAUUUCAUAUUUUAAACAAAUAUUUGAUUAGAGUUAUGUUUUUGGCAACCAUCCCAUGUGUCACGCAUGUUUUCUAUAACCAUUAUAUUGUAGAAUCUCCAAAAAGGUCAUAGUCUUUAGCAUUGUCAUAAACCAUCCACCUACAGAAACAAUCUAACCCCAUCUUCGAAGUUCUGAACAACAAAUUGAAGAGGGUAAUUCAAAUGGAAUUGUGGUUGAACGUUGUUGGAUAAGUCUAAGAACUCAUUCCCUACAUUUAUUAGAAGGUGGUUGCUUGUUUGAACACAUGGGUAAUUCUUGUACACUUUCAAGAACUCCUGAAUCUUCGGCAUCAAUUAUAGCAUAUGAUAGUUGAACUUUUUUUUUUUGAAAACCAAAAGAUACUUCGUUAAAUUAAACGAUGAAUACAAGAAGGAAUAGAAAAAUGCCAAAUAGAAAGACCAGACUAAGAAUGAGCAGCCCUAGUUAACAGGGACGAAGCCAUGGCAGGUGACUCUGUGCGACGCAGCAAACGGAGGGCUUCUCUGGAGGCGGUGAGAAGAAUAGGGCAUGUAUUCAUGUGGAUUUUUUGAUUGGUUUGAUCCUCCAAUGUGGACGGUCGAAGAAAAUCAUUCUCAUAUUGUUGAAGAGGGUGAACCGAAAUGGGGAAUAAAUUGAGAAAUCUCAAAGCAUUAUUACGAGGUGGCAAUGGUCCAAAAAAAAAUGUAAUGAGAAAUGAUGAGUAGGUUCAUGGAAAUGUAACUUUGAAUUGGUUGAUUAGUGACGAGACUUGACUUUGAUGAUGUUAAUCUCCCUGACCUUAGAAGGGGUUGAUUUGGAUUAACCUUGCUUUGCCUUUGAAAUGUUGGAGUAUGAGAUGUCAAUACUAUGGUGUUUUGAUGAAA